rnacentral:rRNA from 1 species
AUUAGCUGGUUCUCCGCGAAAUGCAUUUAGGUGCAGCGUCGUGCGUUCAACGAUGGGGGUAGAGCACUGAAUGGGCUAGGGGUCCUACAAGACUACCGACCCCAAUCAAACUCCGAAUACCAUCGUUCCAGAGCACGGCAGUGAGACCUCGGGGGAUGAGCUUCGAGGUCGAGAGGGAAACAGCCCAGACCGCCGGCUAAGGUCCCAAAAUCUGAACUAAGUGGUAAACGAUGUGAGAUUGCGAGGACAGCCAGGAGGUUGGCUUGGAAGCAGCCAUCCUUGAAAGAGUGCGUAACAGCUCACUGGUCGAGUGAUCUUGCGCGGACAAUGUAACGGGGCUCAAGUUCAGUACCGAAGCCGCGGAUGCGACUCUUUGAGUCGUGUGGUAGCGGAGCGUCGAGCGUGCAGCGAAGCGGCGGGACAACCCAGCCGUGGAGCGCGUUCGAGUGCGAAUGUUGGCAUGAGUAGCGAAUGAGGGGUGAGAACCCCCUCCGCCGUAUGUCCAAGGGUUCCUGGGCGAGGCCAAUCCUCCCAGGGUGAGUCGGGAGCUAAGGCGAGGCCGAGAGGCGUAGUCGAUGCACAACUGGUUGAUAUUCCAGUACCACCAUGUUCGCGUCCGUCCCAAUACUCUGUUGCUAAGGGGCUGUGUUGACUUCGGUCAACGCGAACCGACCCACAUUGUUGCGGGAAGCUGUAGGGGGACGCAGGAAGGUAGAUGAACCCGGUGAAUGGUAGAACCGGGGUAAGCGUGUAGGAGGAGGACCAGGUAAAUCCGGGCCUCAUAAACUCUGAGACGUGAUACCGAGCCGCUUCAGGCGAAGUCAUUGAUCCUAUGCUGCCUAGAAAAGCCCAGCAGCGAGUUGACAUGGUGCCCGUACCCCAAACCAACACAGGUGGACAGGUAGAGCAUACCAAGGCGAGUGGGAUAACUAUGGUUAAGGAACUCGGCAAAUUGCCUCCGUAACUUCGGGAGAAGGAGGACCCCAGUAGCGUGAUGAGACUUGCUCUCUGAGCGUGAAGGGGUGGCACAAAAUUGAGGGAAGCGACUGUUUACCAAAAACACAGCAGCGUGCUAAGCCGUAAGGCGCUGUAUACGCUGUGACUCCUGCCCGGUGCUGGAAGGUUACGGGGAUGGGUUAGUCCUUCGGGACGAAGCUCUGAACCUAAGCCCCAGUAAACGGCGGCCGUAACUAUAACGGUCCUAAGGUAGCGAAAUUCCUUGUCGGGUAAGUUCCGACCUGCACGAAUGGAGUAACGACUUCCCUACUGUCUCAACCAUAGACCCAGCGAAAUUGAAGUACGAGUAAAGAUGCUCGUUAGCUGCAGAAGGACGGAAAGACCCCGUGGACCUUUACUAUAACUUGAUGUUGUGUUUUGUCAGAG